AUGCUCUGCGCUCCCCUCCUUGUCGUGCUGCUGGGGGUGUGGUGCACAGGUUCCAGCUCCCAGUCUGUGGUGACACAGCCGCCCGCAGAGUCAGUGUCUUCGGGAAACACUGUGAAACUCUCCUGCGCCAUGAGCAGUGGGACCAGCAUCAGUGGCUACUAUGUGUACUGGUUUCAGCAGAAACCUGGGACCCCCCCUCGGCACCUGCUGAGAUACAAGUCGGAUUCUAACAAGCACCAGGGCUCCGGGGUCCCCGCUCGCUUCUCUGCUUCCAAAGACACGUCCAGUAACACCUGCUACCUGACCAUUGCCGCUGCCCUUGCAGAAGACGAGGCUGACUAUUACUGUGCUGUGUGGCACAGCUUCCCCUCUCACAGUGAUAUAGUGAGAGGGGAAGUGAGACAAAAACGUCCACUGCCUGAUUUGAAUGAAACAUGCAGGGCUGGUAGCCCUUUCAAACUCAUCGGUUCAGGGAUUUCUGGGAAACUGCACCUCAAAUUCGUGAGGGCAAAAAUCAUGUCACCUCUCAGCGUGAGCCUCGUACUGUCAGAGGAGGAGCUGGAGCUGGAACCAGGGAUG